rnacentral:rRNA from 1 species
AACGCGAAAGGGGCUUCGGCCCUGAGUAGAGUGGCGAACGGGUGAGUAACACGUGGGUGAUCUACCUCUGAGUGGGGGAUAACGUUCCGAAAGGAACGCUAAUACCGCAUGACGUCCUGGGUUUGAAGACCCGGAAACCAAAGCUGGGGACCGCAAGGCCUGGCGCUUGGAGAGGAGCCCGCGGCUGAUUAGCUAGUUGGUGAGGUAAUGGCUCACCAAGGCGACGAUCCGUAGCCGGCCUGAGAGGGCGGACGGCCACACUGGCACCGACAUACGGGCCAGACUCCUACGGGAGGCAGCAGUCGGGAAUUUUGGGCAAUGGGCGAAAGCCUGACCCAGCAACGCCGCGUGAAGGAUGAAGCUUUUCGGAGUGUAAACUUCAUAAGAAUGGGACGAAUAAGUGGGGGAUAACACCCCCCAUGAUGACGGUACCAUUUGUAAGCUCCGGCUAACUCCGUGCCAGCAGCCGCGGUAAUACGGGGGGAGCAAGCGUUGUUCGGAUUUACUGGGCGUAAAGGGCGCGUAGGCGGCGCAACAAGUCACUUGUGAAAUCUCCGGGCUUAACCCGGAGCGGCCAAGUGAUACUGUCGUGCUAGAGUGCGGAAGGGGCUACUGGAAUUCUCGGUGUAGCGGUGAAAUGCGUAGAUAUCGAGAGGAACACCUGCGGCGAAGGCGGGUAGCUGGGCCGACACUGACGCUGAGGCGCGAAAGCCAGGGGAGCGAACGGGAUUAGAUACCCCGGUAGUCCUGGCCUUAAACGAUGGAUACU